AAUACAUGCAGUCGAGCGAACAGACAAGGAGCUUGCUCCUUUGACGUUAGCGGCGGACGGGUGAGUAACACGUGGGUAACCUACCUAUAAGACUGGGAUAACUUCGGGAAACCGGAGCUAAUACCGGAUAAUAUUUCGAACCGCAUGGUUCGAUAGUGAAAGAUGGUUUUGCUAUCACUUAUAGAUGGACCCGCGCCGUAUUAGCUAGUUGGUAAGGUAACGGCUUACCAAGGCGACGAUACGUAGCCGACCUGAGAGGGUGAUCGGCCACACUGGAACUGAGACACGGUCCAGACUCCUACGGGAGGCAGCAGUAGGGAAUCUUCCGCAAUGGGCGAAAGCCUGACGGAGCAACGCCGCGUGAGUGAUGAAGGUCUUCGGAUCGUAAAACUCUGUUAUUAGGGAAGAACAUACGUGUAAGUAACUAUGCACGUCUUGACGGUACCUAAUCAGAAAGCCACGGCUAACUACGUGCCAGCAGCCGCGGUAAUACGUAGGUGGCAAGCGUUAUCCGGAAUUAUUGGGCGUAAAGCGCGCGUAGGCGGUUUUUUAAGUCUGAUGUGAAAGCCCACGGCUCAACCGUGGAGGGUCAUUGGAAACUGGAAAACUUGAGUGCAGAAGAGGAAAGUGGAAUUCCAUGUGUAGCGGUGAAAUGCGCAGAGAUAUGGAGGAACACCAGUGGCGAAGGCGACUUUCUGGUCUGUAACUGACGCUGAUGUGCGAAAGCGUGGGGAUCAAACAGGAUUAGAUACCCUGGUAGUCCACGCCGUAAACGAUGAGUGCUAAGUGUUACGGGGUUUCCGCCCCUUAGUGCUGCAGCUAACGCAUUAAGCACUCCGCCUGGGGGAGUACGACCGCAAGGUUGAAACUCAAAGGAAUUGACGGGGGACCCGCACAAAUCGGUGGGACCAUGUGGGUUUAAAUUCUAAACCAACGCGGAAAAAACCUUUACCCAAAUCUUUGACAUUCCUUUUGGACAA
rnacentral:rRNA from 1 species